rnacentral:rRNA from 1 species
GACGAACGCUGGCGGCGUGCUUAACACAUGCAAGUCGAACGGAAAGGCCCUGCUUUUGUGGGGUGCUCGAGUGGCGAACGGGUGAGUAACACGUGAGUAACCUGCCCUUGACUUUGGGAUAACUUCAGGAAACUGGGGCUAAUACCGGAUAGGAGCUCCUGCUGCAUGGUGGGGGUUGGAAAGUUUCGGCGGUUGGGGAUGGACUCGCGGCUUAUCAGCUUGUUGGUGGGGUAGUGGCUUACCAAGGCUUUGACGGGUAGCCGGCCUGAGAGGGUGACCGGCCACAUGGGGACUGAGAUAGGGCCCAGACCCCUACGGGGGGAAGGGGGGGGGAAUAUUGCACAAUGGGCGGAAGCCUGAUGCACCAACCCCGGGGGGGGGAGGACGGCCUUCGGGUUGUAAACCGUUUUCGCCUGGGACGAAGCGUGGGUGAGGGUAAUGGGUAAAGAAGCACCGGCUAACUACGU